ensembl:lncRNA
CUCUCUCUCUCUCUCUCACCUGUUCCUCUCUGCUGUUUAUGAUCACCAGGUCUGCUCCUCUUUCUAGACAGUCCUGUCUGCUCUCCUCUCUCCUCUCUACACCUGUUCCUCUCUGCUGUUUAUGAUUACCAGGUCUGCUCCUCUUUCUAGACAGUCCUGUCUGCUCUCCUCUCUCCUCUCUACUCUCUCUCUCUCUCUCACCUGUUCCUCUCUGCUGUUUAUGAUUACCAGGUCUGCUCCUCUAUCCAGACAGUCCUGUCUGCUCUCCUCUCUCCUCUCUUCUCUCUCUCUCUCUCUCUCUCUCUCUCUCUCUCUCUCUCUCUCUCUCUCUCUCUCACCUGUUCCUCUCUGCUGUUUAUGAUGACCAGGUCUGCUCCUCUAUCUAGACAGUCCUGUCUGCUCUCCUCUCUCCUCUCUUCUCUCUCUCUCUCUCUCUCUCUCUCUCUCUCUCUCUCUCUCUC